rnacentral:pre_miRNA from 1 species
CCUCUGUAUAAUUUUCAUAUUCAACUUUAAUAAUCUGUCUUAUUUAGAAUUUUUUUAUAAACUAGUAUUUUUAUUGUUAUGAGAUUGUUAAAAUAUGAAUAAUAGUUUAUAUGUGACUUAUGUUUUUUUAAAAAAUUUUAAAAAAAUAAAUAAGAAGAACGGUCAAAAUUAUACACGAAAAAUGAUAGCUGCAUUUAAA